CGGGUGCGGAACACGUGAGCAACCUGCCCCGGAGACCGGGAUAACAGCGGGAAACUGCUGCUAAUACCGGAUGUCCCCACCGGUCCCGCAUGGGACUGUGAGGAAAGGAUUCCGCUUCGGGAGGGGCUCGCGGCCUAUCAGCUUGUUGGUGAGGUAACGGCUCACCAAGGCGACGACGGGUAGCUGGUCUGAGAGGACGAUCAGCCACACUGGGACUGAGACACGGCCCAG
rnacentral:rRNA from 1 species